GGGGAUUUAGCUCAGUGGUAUAAGUGCCUGCCUAGCAAGCAUGAGGUGAGUUCAAUCCCCA
rnacentral:tRNA from 1 species